rnacentral:lncRNA from 9 species
CAGCAGCUUCUGGAAAACGGCGCGCCGGCCCCCCGGGGCAGGAAGAAGGGCCAAAGAAGAGGGGGAAGGGGCUAGGACUUCCUGAGCACCAGCCUCCGAAGGCCUGAGGGAAGGGGAUUUCAGUUCUGAGUCGAAAAGUGAAGACCACUUCUGGGCAAAAUUGUAAAGCAGAGGAAGGGAAGAAAAUGGAAGAAGCAAGAAGCAAGGAUUGAGAAGAACUGCCAUGUGCCAGAUCAGCCCCCCUUGAAGUAAGAAAUGUCAUCAGGGUACUAAGAGAUAAAUAAGAAUGGAAACUUCUAGAAGAAAGAAAUCCACUAAGGUCGGUGAGUUUUAAAACCUAACAUUUCUUCUGGGCAUAAAAAUAAUGCAUUAUUAUAGAAGUCCUGGGAAAGUAAGGUAAAUUUCUAGAAACGGAACUCAAAAUCAAAAAUGAAGGUCCUCACCCAUGGCAUACGGAGGUUCCCAGGCUAGGAGUCCAAUCGGAACUGCAGCUGCCGGCCUCCACCACAGCCACAGCAAUGCAUGAUCCAAGCCAUGUCUGUUAUCUACACCACAGCUCACAGCAAUGCUGGAUCCUUAACCCACUGAGCAAGGCCAAGGAUCAAAUCUGCAUCCUCAUGGAUACUAGUUGGGUUUGCUGGCCAUUACGACCUGAACUCCAAGAAAAGCAAUUCCAAUGAAAGCACAUUUUUCAUCAGAAACCAUUAGACCAGAGGAAGUGGCACAACAUUUUUUAAGUGCUGAAAGAAAAUAAUUUUCAACCUCCAAUCCUGUAUCUAGAGACAGUAAUCUUCAGGAAUGAAGGGAAAAUCAGGACGCUGUGUGAUGAAGGAAAACUAAGGUAAUAGCUCAUUGGGAAAACUACCCGAAAAGAAGAGCUAGAAAAAUUUCUCUAAACGGAAUGCUAGUGAUAAGCAAAACAUUUUGGAACAUCAGGGAGAAAAGAGAGAAUGUGGUUAGCAAAAAUGAGUAAAUACAACAGGUUUCUCUCAAGUCUCCUAAAUUAUGUUUGAUGAUGCAAAAAUUAUAAUACUAUCUGAUAUGGUUAUAAAUGUGCGUAGAGAAAAAAUUUAAAACAAUUAUUAUUAUUAUUAUUAUUAUUAUUUGUCUUUUUGCCAUUUCUUGGGCCACUCCCACGGCAUAUGGAGGUUCCCAGGCUAGGGGUCUAAUCGGAGCUGAGCUGCCAGCCUACACCAGAGCUGCAGCAAUGUGGGAUCCGAGCCGCAUCUGCUACCUACACCACAGCUCAUGGCAACGCCAGAUCAUUAACCCACUGAGCAAGGGCAGGGAUCGAACCCGCAACCUCAUGGUUCCUAGUCGGAUUCCUUAACCACUGCGCCACGACGGGAACUCCUAAAACAAUUAUAUUCUGCAAGUUCCUGUCAAGGCUCAGCAGUAAUGAACCCAACUAUUAACCAUGAGGACACGGGUUCGAUCCCCGGCCUCACUCAGUGGGUUAAGGAUCUGGCGUUGCCAUGAGCUGUGGUGUAGGUCACAGAAGCGGCUUGGGUCUAGCGUUGCUGUGGCUGUGGUGUAGGCUGGCAACUGCAGCUCCAAUUUGACCCUUAGCCUGGAAACUUCCAUAUGCCAAGGGUGUGGCCGUAAAAAGACAAAAAAUUUAAAAACCAAUUAUAGUCUGAAUGGGAAGAGUCAAGUUCCAUAUUGGGUGGUACGGUUUCUACACUUCACUGGAACUGGUAAAAUGAUGAUAGCAGUAACUUAUGCACAUAUACUGUAAUAUCUAGAGCAACCACUAAAAGAACUAUCUAAAUAGGCAUACUCAAAAACACUACAGAUCAAUAAAAAUGGAAUUCUGAAAAAUGCUUAAGUAACCCAGUGGAAGGCAAGAAAAAGAAAGGAGAUGUGAAAAA